rnacentral:rRNA from 1 species
AGCGAACGCUGGCGGCAGGCCUAAUACAUGCAAGUCGAACGGAUCCUUCGGGAUUAGUGGCGGACGGGUGAGUAACACGUGGGAACGUGCCCUUUGGUUCGGAACAACUCAGGGAAACUUGAGCUAAUACCGGAUAAGCCCUUCGGGGAAAGAUUAUCGCCAUUGGAGCGGCCCGCGUCUGUUUAGCUAGUUGGUGGGGUAAAGGCCUACCAAGGCGACGAUCAGUAGCUGGUCUGAGAGGAUGAUCAGCCACACUGGGACUGAGACACGGCCCAGACUCCUACGGGAGGCAGCAGUAGGGAAUCUUGCGCAAUGGGCGAAAGCCUGACGCAGCCAUGCCGCGUGAAUGAUGAAGGUCUUAGGAUUGUAAAAAUU